GUUUUUUUUUUUUUUUGUUUUACUUCAAAAGUGCAAUUGUUGAAACAAGUUUUUGUUUUGUAUUUUAUUCUAUUUAGCCUCAGUUGAAGUCAAAAGUAUUAUUUCAUAUCGUUUGAAUGCAACCUGUAAUGUUGUAUACAUUCAAUUUUUUAUUUAUUCCUUUCUGUGUUUGGCCAGUGACAUGCCUUGGACACAGUCCAUGUUGAUGAACUCUUGGAGACCUUAGUCUUAUAUUGUCAUCUGUCAUUUUUAGUCUGCUUUGAACAUUCUGUAACUGUUAAAGUGCUGGUCAUUUUGACUAGUUGAAAAUAGAAUGACUUCAGAUUGAACUGUUUGCCACCGAAGAUUUGCAGCAUGAAAACAUGCCAUGUGAUAUGUACAAUAUUAUCUAAGAUAUUCAGGUUAGAAAUUGAAAACCAAUGCAGACUGAUUUAAAUUCUAAAGUUUUACCAUUAGAAGUUUUGUAAUUAUUUGAUGAACAAAUACAAGAAGACAGAAAUCAUUAUAACCCAAUGAAACACCAACAGAUACCCUGAUACAAUCCAUCACAAUGAUAUCUUACUGAUGUUUAAGACAGCUCCUUAGUGUAUGACUUAGAAUGUUUAUUUUCUUUAAAUACAUAUGCUUAAAUUUUGGAAUUGGUUUUAUAGUGGCUGCAUAAUUGGGGAAAUAACCUGAAUGUAUUUGAAGGCUUUAACUUAUCAAAAUAAAUUGAUACAAUUUGUAAUAGAGCCAUUUAUUUGAACAUGAACAUGUGAAGUCUCAUGUUCUUGAAUCUAUUCAAGAGUUUUUUUUUAUUGGCUGUGUUUUUUUUUUCAUUUUUUUUUUUUUCAAUUUCUUUUCAUAAUUUUUUUCUUAUACUGGUGAUUAGGAAAGCUCAUUUUAUUGUUAAUAACAAUCUGCACUGAGUCUGGCUGUUGUAAUAUUGCAACACUAGUUUGA